GCCGGAAGAACAUGGCAGAGGGCAAAACAAAACAGCAUUGGGAACAAGCUCUGUUUAAAAGGAGACUUGUGAACAGCAAAGAGUAGAAAGGGUUCUCUUACAACUGAAGCCCAUGGAAGACAAAUGUGUACUGCGUAUUAUGAGAUUCUGGAAUUUCCCCAAACCACAUUGAUUGCUGGGAGAAUAGAAGAAGUGGAUUACAAGUGGAACUUAGAAGGGGAGUAUUCGAGAAGACGUCUCUGCAAAUCCAUUUAGAGAGACCUUUCUCCAGUGGUGACUCAAAGAUGCAGCUCCUUUCAUCCUGUGGCUUGGCCAUCUUCAGCACAUGGCUCCCAAGGAUGUCCUCAGGAUGGUCUCUAAUCCAAGGAGCCUGAAGAGAAAAAAAGGCAUGGAGUAUUGUGAGUGGUAGGUGGUUAUGGACCAGUUAUGGAAGAAUACACAUCACUUUUGCCCACCUUCUACUAACCAGAACUCACACAGCCAUAGACACUGACAAGUAGGACUUAACAAGAAUCUAAUUUUGAGUCUAGGAAUACGACUGUAGCAAAUAUUUAACAGCUUCAAACACAGGUGCAUUGCUAUCACUAUGCUUGGCCCAGGCCUGUCUCCCUUUCCUGCCAUG
rnacentral:lncRNA from 10 species